AGUGAACGCUGGCGGCGUGCUUAACACAUGCAAGUCGAACGAGAACGGAUUAGAGCUUGCUAUAAUUGUCAGCUAAGUGGCGCACGGGUGAGUAAUGUAUAGGUAAUAUGCCUCUUACUAAGGGAUAACAAAUGGAAACGUUUGCUAAUACCUUAUACUCCUUAUUAACCUAAGUUAAUGAGGGAAAGAUUUAUUGGUAAGAGAUUAGCCUGUAUUGUAUCAGUUAGUUGGUGGGGUAAUGGCCUACCAAGACUAUGACACAUAACUGGUUUGAGAGGAUGAUCAGUCACACUGGAACUGAGACACGGUCCAGACUCCUACGGGAGGCAGCAGUGGGGAAUAUUGCACAAUGGACGAAAGUCUGAUGCAGCAACGCCGCGUGGAGGAUGACACAUUUCGGUGCGUAAACUCCUUUUAUAUGAGAAGAUAAUGACGGUAUUAUAUGAAUAAGCACCGGCUAACUCCGUGCCAGCCGCCGCGGUAA
rnacentral:rRNA from 1 species